GGGGUUGUGGCUCAGUGGUAGAGCGCUUGCCUGGAAUGUGGGAUACACUGGGUUCAAUCCUCAGCACCA
rnacentral:tRNA from 1 species